AAAAAAAAAGAUAUUAAGGAUAUUUAAUAACUUGAAAUAGUACUUCAUAAUUAGAAAUGUGUAAAUCAAAUACACUGGUCACCUAAAUAGGCAGAUUGCACACCAGCAGUCAGUAUUGCAGACAUCUUACCACAUUUCUUAAUACUUUAUCAAAGCUGUCCAUGUAGUUCUCAUAGUUCAUCUUUAUUUUUUUGUUUGUUUACUUUUCUUCCUGCAUGGCAAACCUCUUCACUGACCUUGCUUCUUUGGAGAAAAACAGUAAGAUAGGUAAGGAGAGAAAUUCUUUACCAUUGCUUUCAGCAGAGCAAGGAUUUUAAUUGCACCCUGUAUUUUUCUGGUGGGCUUAUUUAUCUAUUUAUGUCUUUAUUUAUUUAUUUAUUUAUGAUUCAUUCUUUCAUAUUUUCCUGGAGCAUUUCUGAGUGAUAGUGGGCGAUCCAGGAGUACAGGAUCCCACCCACCCCUUACUCUUCCUUCUCAAACAGCAGAAUCCUCCUUAAAGCAGCACGGCUCUAAGCAGCUCGUAGCAUCCAGGGUCUCCAUGCCCCAGCACUCCUGUUUCUGCAGGCAGAAAAUUACUGUUCCUUUGUUUGGCAUGAGGGGAGCCCGAGGGGGCCCCAGGAGCCACAGCACUGCUGGUGUAGCAAUCGAGCAGCAGGAACAAGGACUUUCCUAAGAGCAGAAAGAUCAGACUCUAGGGGCAGCAGAAGGAAACUGGGAUGGGUUCUGGAGAAGGAAGGACUAGCUCAGGUGCCCCAGGGAUGCUGAGAGUCUGCUGUAUAUAAAAACAUUUAAUUUAUUUUUAAGAUGCAAAGUCCUAAAUUGCCAGUUGGUCUACAAGAGUCUCAAGAAUUUGAUUAUUAGACUUUAGAUGGCAGUCUGAAGAACUAACACCCUGUCCUGGAACAAGGCCUGAGCUAUUUCUGUCCUGCCUGAAUGAUUCUGCACUGGCUCACUGCAAAGUUGCUGGAUGCCCCUUGCUUGGACUGGGUUUGUGUUGGUGACCCAGCCAGGGGUAAUUUCUUACUUGUCUGUGGGCACAGUUUCAGGUUAGCAAUAAGUAAGUAAGGCUUACAGAGAAGAACACGUGGUUUGUAAAGCCACUUUCAUAGCCAGCAGUGACUGCAGAUGAAGUUUCUCUUUGAGUACUUGAGCUCUGACCUGCAGCCCAUGGAGGGAGAGGUCUUGUGUCUGACCUUGUGAACCUCCCUCUCUGCUCAUAUCUCACUGAUGGGAAUAAAACUAAUUUUGCCUCAGUCAAACAGGCUUGUGAAAAUGUCCUCUGCCUUCUACAGUGCUGUUCAAUGAAGUAUGGAUGGUUUUUCUAAAUUCGGCUCUUGUGGGUUACCCUUUGCUUGAGUGUU